CUUGACUGGUUUGUGCUCCAACAAACGCUUGACUGCUAGACAAGCAGGUCUGUUGCGUACCUGUGUGUGUGUGUGCGUGUGUGUGUGUGUGUGCGUGUGUGUGUGUGUGUGUGUGUGUGUGU